AUUGCAUGGUGGGGGCAUCAUCUCAGGAGAUCUUUGAACCGUUCCCAGGCUUUGUAGUAACUUGCAAAAGGAAUUUGCUUAAAAGUCUGGAAUUCUGACCUU